rnacentral:rRNA from 1 species
UUUUUAAUUGGGAUCUUGUAUGAAGGAUUGGACAAAAGGGAAACUGUCUUUAUAUUAAAUUUUGAAUUUAACUUUUAAGUGAAAAGGCUUAAAUGUUCUAAAGGGACGAUAAGACCCUAUAAAACUUUACAUUUAUAAUUAAAUAUUAUUUAAUUUUUAUUAUAACAAUUAUAUUUAAUUUUUUGUUAUGUUGGGGAGACAAAAAUUAUAAUUUAUAUUAACUGUUUGGAAAUAAAUCAAUAAAUUAAUGAAUAAGGUUAUUAUAGAUCCUUUAUAAAGAUUAAAAGAUUAAGUUACUUUAGGGAUAACAGCGUUAUUUUUUUUGAGAGUUCAUAUCGAAAGGAAAGAUUGCGACCUCGAUGUUGAAUUAAAAUAUCUUUAUAAUGUAGGUGUUAUAUAAGAGGGUCUGUUCGACCUUUAAUUUUUUAC